rnacentral:rRNA from 1 species
AAAUUGAAGAGUUUGAUCAUGGCUCAGAUUGAACGCUGGCGGCAGGCCUAACACAUGCAAGUCGAACGGUAACAGGAAGAAGCUUGCUUCUUUGCUGACGAGUGGCGGACGGGUGAGUAAUGUCUGGGAAACUGCCUGAUGGAGGGGGAUAACUACUGGAAACGGUAGCUAAUACCGCAUAACGUCGCAAGACCAAAGAGGGGGACCUUCGGGCCUCUUGCCAUCGGAUGUGCCCAGAUGGGAUUAGCUAGUAGGUGGGGUAACGGCUCACCUAGGCGACGAUCCCUAGCUGGUCUGAGAGGAUGACCAGCCACACUGGAACUGAGACACGGUCCAGACUCCUACGGGAGGCAGCAGUGGGGAAUAUUGCACAAUGGGCGCAAGCCUGAUGCAGCCAUGCCGCGUGUAUGAAGAAGGCCUUCGGGUUGUAAAGUACUUUCAGCGGGGAGGAAGGGAGUAAAGUUAAUACCUUUGCUCAUUGACGUUACCCGCAGAAGAAGCACCGGCUAACUCCGUGCCAGCAGCCGCGGUAAUACGGAGGGUGCAAGCGUUAAUCGGAAUUACUGGGCGUAAAGCGCACGCAGGCGG